rnacentral:rRNA from 1 species
AUUGAACGCUGGCGGCAUGCCUUACACAUGCAAGUCGAACGGUAACGGGCCUUCGGGUGCCGACGAGUGGCAAACGGGGGAGUAAUACAUCGGAACGUGCCCGAUCGUGGGGGAUAACGAGGCGAAAGCUUUGCUAAUACCGCAUACGAUCUACGGAUGAAAGCAGGGGACCGCAAGGCCUUGCGCGGACGGAGCGGCCGAUGGCAGAUUAGGUAGUUGGUGGGAUAAAAGCUUACCAAGCCGACGAUCUGUAGCUGGGCUGAGAGGAUGAUCAGCCACACUGGGACUGAGACACGGCCCAGACUCCUACGGGAGGCAGCAGUGGGGAAUUUUGGACAAUGGGGGCAAGCCUGAUCCAGCAAUGCCGCGUGCAGGAUGAAGGCCUUCGGGUUGUAAACUGCUUUUGUACGGAACGAAAAGCCUUCUUUUAAUACAGGAGGGUAAUGACGGUACCGUAAGAAUAAGCACCGGCUAACUACGUG